rnacentral:rRNA from 1 species
UAGGGACCAAGCGUUGUUCGGAUUCAUUGGGCGUAAAGGGCGCGUAGGCGGCGGGGUAAGUCGGGUGUGAAAUCUCAGGGCUCAACCCUGAAACUGCACUCGAUACUGCUCUGCUUGAGGACUGGAGAGGAGACUGGAAUUCACGGUGUAGCAGUGAAAUGCGUAGAGAUCGUGAGGAAGACCAGUGGCGAAGGCGGGUCUCUGGACAGUUCCUGACGCUGAGGCGCGAAGGCCAGGGGAGCAAACGGG